AAAUGAGUUUCAUGAAACGAGGAUCAACCCCAAGCACUCUUUCCUUGUUAUUUGGUAGAUUGAAAGGUACACUGAACAUUCUUUUUCAUCUGGUCCCCGUGACCGAGUUUUUGUCUUUCCUGACUAUAGGUCUUUAAACGACCACAUGAUUUUAAAGCUAAAAGGAACAUGGGAGGCAAUUUCAUAGCAAAUUGAAAUGUCCGUAAGCAGACAUAUUAGUCUUUCUAAGGCUGUUAUCACAAAUUACUAUAAACCUAAGAACAAAACAAGUUUGUUCUCUCUCUGUUCUGGAGACCAGAUGUCUGAGAUCCAGGCAGGGCAGGACACUGAGAUCCAGGGGGAGGGCAGGACCUCUGAGAUCCAGGCAGGGAAGGACCCCUGAGAUCCAGGCAGGGCAGGGCCACUGAGAUCCAGCAAGGGCAGGACCACUGAGAUCCAGGAGGGGCAGGACCAUUGAGAUCCAGGCAGGGCAGGGCCACUGAGAUCCAGGCCGGGCCGGGCCACUGAGAUCCAAGAGGGCAGGGCCACUGAGAUCCAGGCAAGGCAGGGCCACUGAGAUCCAGGCAGGGCUGUGCUCCCUCCUGAGGCUCCAAGGGAGGGUCCUUCCAGCCUCUUCCAGCUUCUGGGGCUCCAGGCACCCCUGGGCUCGUGGCCACAUCCCUCCCA